GAGGGAAAGUUGAAAAGUACUUUGAAGAGAGAGUUCAAGAGGACGUGAAACCGGUUGUAUGGCUGGGUAUUGAGCCAACGAACUAGCCCGUAUUCAGCUAGUCGACUGCGUGCAGCGCGUCUGUGUGUACUAGAUAUAGUGCAUGGGCGUGUGUGGUAUGCGGCCGGUUAGUGCAUUUGCGGGUGAUGUGCGCCGAGGCGUGUGAUGGAGUAGUCUGAACCGCGUGGGGAGAGGCCUCGCUUUUUCGGCUUGGUACCUACCCGUCGGGGAAGAUCGUCUUUGUUGCAUCGUAGAUUAUGGUUAGGUACAGACGCGGUGCUGUGUUGCCGGGCUGGCGCCUAGGUGAGUCGCAUGCGACAAUCCUGGAUGUUCGGUCUUGGUGGCGUGGUGUUGCCCUGGCCGCCCCUCGGUGUAAAAGUUGGUCAUCUCUCCGACCCGUCUUGAAACACGGACCAAGGAGUCUAGCGUAUACGCGAGUCAUUGGGUGGAAAACCCAUAGGCGAAAUGAAAGUGAAUGUCUCUGAUCGGAGGCUAAUAUGCGAUCCGUUACAUUACGGUGUAUGCGCGGAGCAGCAUAGCCCCAUCUCGACUGCUUGCAGUGGGGUGGCGGAAGAGCGUAUUCGCUGGUACCCGAAAGAUGGUGAACUAUGCCUGAGCAGGAUGAAGCCAGAGGAAACUCUGGUGGAGGUCUGACA
rnacentral:rRNA from 1 species